rnacentral:ncRNA from 2 species
CUGCGUCUUCGGGGCGGGGUGUAAUUCCCCACCGGCGGUAUGGCCUUCGGGCCGAGCCCGCGAGCGCUUUCGCCGCCUUGGCGAAAGGUCAGCAGAUCUGGUGCGAUGCCAGAGCCGACGGUGAUAGUCCGGAUGAAAGAAGAUGAUG